AAUCAACGCUGGCGGCGUGCCUCAGACAUGCAAGUCGAACGCGAAAGUCCCCUUCGGGGGACAAGUAGAGUGGCGCACGGGUGAGUAACACGUAGGUAAUCUACCUUUGGAUGGGGAAUAACAACCGGAAACGGUUGCUAAUACCGCAUAAUGCAGCGGCACCUAAUGGUGACAGUUGUUAAAGCGGGGGAUCGAAAGACCUCGCGUCUGAAGAGGAGCCUGCGGCGGAUUAGCUAGNGGUAAGGUAAUGGCUUACCAAGGCUACGAUCCGUAACCGGCCUGAGAGGGCGGUCGGUCACACUGACACUGACAUACGGGUCAGACUCCUACGGGAGGCAGCAGUCGGGAAUUUUGGGCAAUGGGCGAAAGCCUGACCCAGCAACG
rnacentral:rRNA from 1 species